rnacentral:rRNA from 1 species
GACGAACGCUGGCGGCGUGCUUAACACAUGCAAGUCGAACGGAAAGGCCCUGCUUUUGUGGGGUGCUCGAGUGGCGAACGGGUGAGUAACACGUGAGUAACCUUCCCUUUACUUUGUGAUAACUUCAGGAAACUGUUGCUACUACCUGAUAGGUGCUCCUGCUGCAUGGUGGGGUUUGGACCGUUUCGGCGGUUGGGGAUGGACUCGCGGCUUAUCAGCUUGUUGGUGGGGUAGUUGCUUACCAAGGCUUUGACGGGUAGCCGGCCUGAGAGGGUGACCGGCCACAAGGGGACUAAGAUACGGCGCAGACGCGUACGGGAGGCAGCAGUGGGAAAUAUUGCACAAUGGGCGGAAGCCUGAGGCAGAAACGCCGCGUGCGGGAUGACGGCCUUCGGGUUGUAAACCGCUUUCGCCUGUGACGAAGCGUGAGUGACGGUAAUGGGUAAAGAAGCACCGGCUAACUACGUG